UUAAAAGUUUAUUGCAACUUGUUGCAAUGACAAUAAAAACAGUAGCUCACUGUUCUGAGAGUUCUCAGUAAUGUUAAUAAUAACUUCACCUCUUUGGUUUCUCCUCUACCUCACUCAGUGAUGUCUCUCACACACACACACACACACACACACACACACACACACACACACACACAUUCUCCUUCUCUAACGUCGUUACACAUCCAACUUGACUUUUUUAAUCAAGCUUUCACACCUUUUUUUAAGCAUUUGGAAUAUUUUAUUCCAAAUCUGUUUUCUUUCACUCAUUCACAAAUGCUGCGUAUACUCAAUCUAACUCACCCCGAUGAAUUCAGCACUUGCGACAGAUCUGCAUGAGUGAAUCUUGCAGGAAACAGCAACAAUUGGUCAAAUUUGGAGGAGUGUUGCGGUGAUUGGACAAAACUGCCAGGUUGCACAGAAUUCAUGGGAACUGGCUGAGCUUGGAUUGUUGCGAUUACACCAUUUCCUCAGUGCUGAAAUUCAGUGGAAUUUCCCUUUAGGUUUCAUGCCCAUAUGUUGUUUACAUGUUUCAAAAUGCAGUGCCUUUAGAGAUUCUCUGGUACUUUGACUGUACUACUGUGAACUUUUACAGCGCAGGUCCUUUGACAUUUGAAUGUCUGUCACUCUCAGCUGCAGGAACGUUGAGAUUUCAGUUUUCAUCACAGAAAGCACAAUCAAGCUACGGACCAAAACUGCCUGUUAUCUCUGUUUUUUUUUUUUGUUGUUGUUUUUUCUCUAUAGCUGGAAUUCAACUCGGUGGAUAGAAAGCAUUAACAGAUAUUCGCCUGCAGUUCACCAGUCGAAAUUUCAUAAAUAUAGACGAGCCAGUAAGUUAAAGUGUUGGCUCUCACUGCCCUGCACAAACAAAUGUAUCAUAAUGAGUUAACAUUUUUUGUAUUAAUCAUUGUCAUAGAGCAACAUUUUCCAGCAAUUCUUCCGCUCUGGCUUUGUGAUUGAGAUGAUUUAAUGUCCUGCUUAGCCUGGUUGAGUGAUUAUGAUUUUAGUGCUGUGCCGUGUCUGUCCUCUGUCUGUGUUUGUAGAGUCUCAGUGUCACUGACGGGGCUUUAGCCUCUUGUUACCGGAACUCGGUAAACACACAACCGUCAGCUUUGUGAUGAAUGGGGACAUAGUUCAAGGUAAAGGCUUUAAGGAUACUGUCUUGCAGGGAGCGCCACGUGAGAUCGGGCCAGCCAAAUAGCCUCAGCGUCUUGUUUUGCUACAUCCCGAUCCCAUUUGUGUGGCAGAGGCUGUCUCAUCAAACUACAAGUCAGAGUUUGCCGGUUUUUAAUUAUGUUAUGUCUGUGGGGCGAUGACAAGUUUUGCCACAAAGAUUAAAAUUCUUGUCCUGUUCUGUCCCACACCAACACUGAAAGGGAACCUAGCACUUUUACCGGAAAAACUUGUGCCAGUGGAUAUUUAAGUGUGUGUUGCGUCUACAUUGCCAUUUGUAGAUUUAUUCAUUUUGUAAUGCACAAACCAACCUGAUGGGAUGCAGUUAGUUUCAU